AUUGAACGCUGGCGGCAGGCCUAACACAUGCAAGUCGAACGAGUGGCGGACGGGUGAGUAAUGUCUGGGAAAGUGCCUGAUGGAGGGGGAUCACUACUGGAAACGUUAGCUAAUACCGCAUACCAUCAGAUGUGCCCAGAUGGGUGUAGCUUGUUGGUGGGGUAACGGGUCACCAAGGCGACGAUCCCUAGCUGGUCUGAGAGGAUGACCAGCCCCACUGUAACUGAGACCGGUGCCAGACUCCUCCGGGAGGCAGCAGUGGGGAAUCUUGCACAAUGGGCGCACGCCUGAUGCAGCCAUUGCGCGUGUAUGAAGAGGGCCUUCGGGUUGUAAAGUACUUUCAGGGGGGAGGCGUUACCCGCAGAAGAGGCACCUGCUAACUCCGUGCCAGCAGCCGCGGUAAUUC
rnacentral:rRNA from 1 species